rnacentral:rRNA from 1 species
UUAGGUGGCUAUGGCGGCGGUGUUCCACCUCUUCCCAUUCCGAACAGAGAAGUUAAGCCCGCCUGCGCCGAUGGUACUGCAAUGCAAUGCGGGAGAGUAGGUGGCCGCCUUCU